CCUUGGCAAAUGUGUGUUUCCUUAGGUUCAUGGUACAGAGGAAGGGUCACACUACCAACAGGGUCACACAACUAUCCCUGGAGAUGCCCACAACUCCUAGGAAAGCCUUGUCAAAUGUGUGUUUCCUAUGUUCACAGUACAAAGGAAGGGUCACAAAACUACCCCUGGAAAUGCCCACAACUCCUAGGAAACCUUUGUCAAAUGUGUUUCCUUAGGUUCACAGAACAGAGGAAGGGUCACAAAACUACCCCUGGAAAUGCCCACAACUCCUAGGAAAGCCUGGUCAAAUGUGUGUUUCUUUAGGUUCACAGUACAGAGGAAGGGUCACAAAACUACCCCUGGAAAUGCCCACGACUCCUAGGAAAGCCUGGUCAAAUGUGUGUUUCUUUAGGUUCACAGUACAGAGGAAGGGUCACAAAACUACCCCUGGAAAUGCCCACAACUCCUAGGAAAGCCUGGUCAAAUGUGUGUUUCUUUAGGUUCACAGUACAGAGGAAGGGUCACAAAACUACCCCUGGAAAUGCCCACAACUCCUAGGAAAGCCUGGUCAAAUACGUGUGGCGGUCGAUAUGUGGGCCCUGAGAGAGAGAGAGAGAGAUAAUGUUCCAUAAUAGACUCUGCUCAGAGUGAGGAUGAGUCAU